rnacentral:snRNA from 1 species
AUGCUCACUUUAGCAACAUAUACACUAAAACUGGAAUAAUACCAAGAAGAAGGACCCUGGGCAAGGAUGACAUGUAAGCUUAUGAAAUAUUCCAUAUUUUA